rnacentral:rRNA from 1 species
GGGCCCGCACAAGCGGUGGAGCAUGUGGUUCAAUUCGAUGCAGAGCGAAGAACCUUACCUGGGCUUGACAUGCUGGAAGUAGAACCCCGAAAGGGGAACGACCUGUUAAGUCAGGAGCCAGCACAGGUGGUGCAUGGCUGUCGUCAGCUCGUGCCGUGAGGUGUUGGGUUAAGUCCCGCAACGAGCGCAACCCUCACCCGAUGUUGCCAACGGUUCGGCCGGGCACUCUUCGGGAACUGCCGGCGAAGAGCUGGAGGAAGGGGGGGAUGACGUCAAGUCCGUAUGCCCCUUAUGUCCAGGGCUACACACAUGCUACAAUGGUCGGUACAGAGGGUUGCCAACCCGCGAGGGGGAGCCAAUCCCAGAAAGCCGAUCUCAGUUCGGAUUGCAGGCUGCAACUCGCCUGCAUGAAGUAGGAAUCGCUAGUAAGCGCAGAUCAGCAGGCUGCGCUGAAUACGUUCCCGGGCCUU